CUCUCUACAAAACCCUGAGCUUUCAUUUCAAUCAACAAUGGCAACUAGGGGUAUAAACGAGUCGGGUCGAGCCUGAGCUCGACUGGGCUCGAGCUCGGCUCGUCAUGUUUUUAUGAAGGUCGAGCUCGCCUCUGUUCGAGCCUACUUAUUUGAGCUCGAGCUCGGUUCGCAAAUGAAACCCAAAGCUCAAGAUCGACUCGACUCGGAUCGAGCUAUUUUAAGAACAACCUCAAAUGAGAUAAAAGCUCGGCUUGAGCUCGCUUCAAUAUCGUUUAAACGCGCCAAAGCUCGGCUCGAGCUCGGCUCGCCAAUGUUAUAAUCAUUAUUAUUAUAUUAUAUAAAAAAUAAAUAAAUUUUUGUUUGGGCUCGUAAACAAGUUUUGUAUUUCAGGCUCGAGCUCAAGCUCGAUAACUAAAUGAGCUCUAAUUUAGGCUUGAGCUAGGUCUCGGGAUCGUUAAAGCUCGGCUCAUUCGCUUUUAACCGAGCUGAUAACGAGUAGCUUUCGAGCUUCUGGGCUUGUUUAUAGCCCUAAUGACAACAAUGGUAGCAAUAUUUUAAGAAAAUCAAUCAUUAACGUAGCUAAGGGAUCAUCAAAAGCCUUCAACUGUCGUGGAAAUACUUCUAUUUCCAUGUUACAUCACAAAAAAAUCAGUCUUUUUACUAGACCCAACACCAAGCUAAGAUAUGGUUUUAUUUCUACAGUAAACAAUAAAACCUUUUCGUCUUUAGCUCCAAACUCUUAGAAUUUGAUGAAUAAUCAGCUUUUGGAGGCAUUUAUGGACCUUGUCACACAUGAAAAAAUCUUUGAAGGUCUCAGGCGUUCUUGGUGGUAAGACUUUUUUCAUCUUAUAUAUCUAUGUGUAUAGUUGAACAUCUUAAGUAAUUUGGUUUUUCUAUUAUUACUAGGUAGUGUUUUAGGAGUUGUUAACUUUGUUUCUUUUACUAGCAUGAUGUUGGCAAGGCUGGUAUCUAAAUACAUAUUUGUGGAACUUGCACCACAAGUGACUGGAAGAGAAUUGAAAGUGGAGAAUGUGAAAAUGUUUUUUAGAAGCUUUCAAGGAGAAUGUACAUUUUCUUUUUUUUAUAAAAUUUUACGUAAAUUAUUUUGAAUGCUAAUAUUGAGAUUUGUGUUUUAAGAGAUACUAGAAAUUUAUUUGUGUACUGAAUUUUGGAUGGGUGUCUUUUCUUUCUUGCAAUUUACGACCCAGUGAUGAAAGAAGAUGCUACACGGAUGAAUGAAAAACAUCGAGUCCCCGAGGUUAUCGACACCGUUUUAGAGGGCGUCGAAAAACUCUACAGUGAUUGAGAGGAUGACAACUCAGAAAAAUUUAAAAUGGUAGUUUUGCAGUUCACGUUAGGCUUUGUGAUUAUCUUUUCACAAAAAAAAAAAAAAAAAAAAAAAAAAAAAAAAAACCAUCUGUGAAGGUCGGUGGAUUGAUGUUGAUGGGCACAGGUGUGGUAGUUGGACGGAAGAAGAGAGUUAACUUCAGAUGUAACAUUCCCUUGUUAUCGUAUGACAGUCUAGGCGCGGAAGGUCAACUAACAAGCAGAGAGCUUCAUGUUAUGAUCCCAUUGUUGGAGAAAGGAAAGAAUGGGAAGUUUAGAUUCAAUGUUCCAGUACCGAUAGGGCUUAGACUGAGUCGAGUUUUAGAUGAAUGAAAUGUCACUGCAAUAUUGUGUUUUUAUUUUAGGAAGGUAGUGAUUAUGAUUAAUUUAGGAUUUUGUAAUGAUGUUAUAUCAAUUACACUAAAAAGUGUAAACCUGUUUCUAAUAGCGAAUCAGAAUGCACGAGCAUAUUGGUAAGA